rnacentral:lncRNA from 1 species
CAUAGCCAUAUUUUGAUGGGCAAAUACAUUUAGACAGCAAAAUUGUGAAGAAAAGGUUCCCCUGUUUAUAGUUAGAUGAUAUCAGGUACCUGAGCAAUGACAUUGAAUUGAGAGUUGAAUUACAAUGACAUUGGGCUGGCUCACAUAAUUCAUAGCCAUGUUAUUCAGGAUUGUGCUGAACGAUAUAUGUACUGCUACAGAUCACUGAACCAUUUCAAGUUACUGAGCUAGUGCUACCUGGUGAUUCAGAUAAUGGAUUGGCACUUGAGAUCUUCUGGAAAGGAUGAAGAGUAAGUAACUAAAGUGGCUUAGCAUUUGUUUCACUAUCUAUUAGUGUUUUGUAUUAUGAUGC